UACGUAGGGUGCGAGCGUUGUCCGGAUUUAUUGGGCGUAAAGAGCUCGUAGGCGGUUUGUUGCGUCGGCUGUGAAAUCCCGAGGCUCAACCUCGGGUCUGCAGUCGAUACGAGCAAACUAGAGUGUUGCAGGGGAGACUGGAAUUCCUGGUGUAGCGGUGAAAUGCGCAGAUAUCAGGAAGAACACCUAUGGCGAAGGCAGCUCUCUGGGACGGUACUGACGCUGAGACGCGAAAGCGUGGGGAGCGAACAGG
rnacentral:rRNA from 1 species